rfam:Felis catus isolate Cinnamon breed Abyssinian chromosome E1, whole genome shotgun sequence.
GCCUGGGUGGCUCAGUCGGUUGAGCGUCCGACUUCAGCUCAGGUCAUGAUCUCCCAGUGUGUGAGUUCGAGCCCCACGUCAGGCU